rnacentral:rRNA from 1 species
CCUACGGGUGGCUGCAGUGGGGAAUAUUGGACAAUGGGGGGAACCCUGAUCCAGCCAUGCCGCGUGUGUGAAGAAGGCCCUCGGGUUGUAAAGCACUUUCAGUGAGGAAGAACGCCUGGUGGUUAAUACCCAUCAGGAAAGACAUCACUCACAGAAGAAGCACCGGCUAACUCCGUGCCAGCAGCCGCGGUAAUACGGAGGGUGCGAGCGUUAAUCGGAAUUACUGGGCGUAAAGCGCGCGUAGGUGGCUUGAUAAGCCGGUUGUGAAAGCCCCGGGCUCAACCUGGGAACGGCAUCCGGAACUGUCAAGCUAGAGUGCAGGAGAGGAAGGUAGAAUUCCCGGUGUAGCGGUGAAAUGCGUAGAGAUCGGGAAGAAUACCAGUGGCGAAGGCGGCCUUCUGGACUGACACUGACACUGAGGUGCGAAAGCGUGGGUAGCAAACAGGAUUAGAUACCCUAGUAGUC